GUCGAGUGCGCGUCUGUAGCAAUACAGAUGGCGCACGGCGCACGGGUGCGUAACACGUGGGUAAUCUGCCCUUCGAUGGGGAAUAACCUCGCGAAAGCGAGGCUAAUUCCGCAUAACAUUCCUAAGACUUCGGUCCCUGGACUCAAAGCCGUAAGGCGUCGAUGGAGGAACCCGCGCACGAUUAGCUAGUUGGUGAGGUAACGGCUCACCAAGGCUUUGAUCGUUAGCUGGUCUGAGAGGAUGGCCAGCCACACUGGAACUGAGACACGGUCCAGACUCCUACGGGAGGCAGCAGUGGGGAAUCUUGCACAAUGGGCGAAAGCCUGAUGCAGCGACGCCGCGUGGGGGAUGAAGCAUUUCGGUGUGUAAACCCCUUUCGACCGGGAAGAAUACCUAGCAAUAGGGGUGACGGUACCGGUAGAAGAAGCCCCGGCUAACUACGUGCCAGCAGCCGCGGUAAGACGUAGGGGGCCAGCGUUGUUCGGAAUUACUGGGUGUAAAGGGUUCGUAGGCGGUGUGGCAAGUUGGGAGUGAAAUCUCUGGGCUUAACCCAGAGGCUGCUUCCAAAACUGCUGUGCUUGAGUGUGGGAGAGGUGCGUGGAAUUGCAGGUGUAGCGGUGAAAUGCGUAGAUAUCUGCAGGAACACCCGUGGCGAAAGCGGCGCACUGGACCACAACUGACGCUGAGGAACG
rnacentral:rRNA from 1 species